UUGCUUCAGCAGCAUAUAUACUAAAGUUGGACUGAUACAAGAGAAGAUUAGCAUGGCCCCUGUGCAAAGAUGACAUGCAAAUUUGUGAAACAUUCUAUAUAUUA
ensembl:snRNA U6 U6 spliceosomal RNA